rnacentral:lncRNA from 1 species
CUUGGGAUGAUUUUGCUGCGAUGGCGGUCAUGCGAGGGAUUCCUGCAUUGGAGCUUUCUAUAAACUGUAGCGGGUUUUCUGAAGCUAGUGGAACUUUGUAAAGGCCUCGUAGUGUUACUCUGCCUCGCCUCCUCGGUAGAGGUGUAUGGGAUUGGCCGUCCCUUGGUAGAUGGGUAACAUGACUUGUGGGUGAAGAUGCGCAACCUCUACAGAGUGUAAAACUGGUAUACUAGCCGUGCUCACGGUCAAGAGCAGCUCGGACACUCACAUGAUUAAUUUAUGAAACUAAAUUCAAUUUGUCAUAUGCAUUGCAUCGCGGGUGAUGUUGUUACUUUUGUUCUACUACUUAAUUGGGCUAGUAUUUACUUAUACUUAGUAAUUGCUAAUAAAAUUUUGACCAACUUUAAAAGCAAUGCUCAGCUCUAACCAUCCUCUUUGAUAAGCCUUACACUUCACGUGAGCUCCCACCUUUGGCGAGUUCAUGCACAUUAUUCCCCACAACUUGUUGAGCGAUGAACGUAUGUGAGCUCACUCUUGCUGUCUCACACCCCCCCACAGGUCAAGAUCAGGUACCACAGGAUGAGGCGCAUGGAGGAUGCUGCGAUGUGUUCGUGAGAGGUCUAGGCCGUCGUCUCCCAGUCAACUUUGGGUUGCUGGACCGUUGUCUCCUUAUAAUGUAAUUAUUUAUUUAUUUUGUAUAGAACUCCUGUUAUAUAGUAAAGAUGUGACAUUCAAUCCUGUGCCAUGAUUCAUCAUAUGUGUGAGACUUGGUCCUAGCACACCUGGUGAUUAUGUUCGCGCCCGGGUCUUGGUGCCCCAAAAUCCGGGUGUGACAGAAGUGGUAUCAGAGGAAUGUUGACUGUAGGACGAAACCUAGAUAGAACUGGACAACCAUUAUCUACUUACCUUCGCUACUCUGAUUCUUUCUAAACUUCUCUUAAUCUUUUCUCAUCUAUUUCCGCUUACUCUGAUUACUCUUACUUUUUCCUUCUAAAGACAAAAUUGGAUUUCUCACUUUGAAAUCCUAUGCCUAAAGUGACAUUUAGGAAUAGGAGACCUACUCUCUGGAACAAAAACAAAAUCAUAUUUUCUUUAAAAGUAUCUAUGCACUUGAAUGUUUGUUUUUAUGAUACUUGUCUGAUUUGGAUCUUUGAUUAAGUGUGAUGAGUUUUGGAGUAAUGUCCACCACUACAUCUACAUAUACAUAUAGGCAUAAAAAUAUAUUCAUAAGACAACUACACAACCUAAAUUAUCCUCCAUUAAAGUAUAUCCAUUUUAAAUAGAUCCAUCUUAUCUUAAAAGAUCCUAUCUAAUCUUAUAUAAUCUAAUUUAGAGUGAGUUACUUAAUGCUGGUACAAGGAUAAGGCCAUACUACUAAUCCACUUACGCCUAAAUCGGUGACUUAGAUCAACUCAGCCAUACACAAACCACUUGACCUACAUAAUUGGUUACAUAACUAAUCCCAACUAGCAUAUAGCUACCUACUAAACCCUCUACCUAGCUAUUACCUACUGAUCUAUCUUAACCUCUUGGUGACACCAAAGCUCAAGAGGGAAAAGAUCAACCUCGUCAAGGAAGGAGAGAAGUCAAAUUCAAUCUUCGGAUGCAUUACCAUCUGACACGAAGUUCUUCCUUACCAUAAACUUUCUUACCCCUGACUAUUCUUGCCUAAACUAUACAUCUCUUAUAUCCUACCUAAUAAGUAGCUGGAUACCUAUGCCCUCCUGAUCACCCACUAUUCAGUAUAUAAAAUAAAUGAGACUAUGGAUUUUUGAACCAAUUAUAGACUAAAAGCUGAAUUACAAACCAAUCCUUCUAUAUCCCUUUUCUUAUUAAUCUCGAGGACGAGAUUUCUGUUAAGGGGGGUAGGAUUUGUAACACCUCAAAAUCUUAUCUUAAGAAUUUAGUAAAAGUCUUCAAUUUUUUUUUGAGUAAAUUCUCUAGAAAAGAAGUUUC